GACGAACGCUGGCGGCGUGCUUAACACAUGCAAGUCGAACGGUGAACCCGGAGCUUGCUCUGUGGGAUCAGUGGCGAACGGGUGAGUAACACGUGAGCAACCUGCCCCUGACUCUGGGAUAAGCGCUGGAAACGGCGUCUAAUACUGGAUAUGUGACGUGAUCGCAUGGUCUGCGUCUGGAAAGAAUUUCGGUUGGGGAUGGGCUCGCGGCCUAUUCGCUUGUUGGUGAGGUAAUGGCUCACCAAGCCGUCGACGGGUAGCCGGCCUGGCAGGGGGACCGGCCGCCCGGGAAGGGAGACAGGGUCCAGACGCCUACGGGAGGGAGCAGGAGGGAAUCGUGGGCAAUGGGCGGAAGCCUGACGGGGCAACGGCGGGGGAUUGAAGAAGGUGUUCGGAGCGUAAAACUCGGUUAUUAGGGAAGAACAUAUGUGUAAGUAACUGUGCACAUCUUGACGGUACCUAAUCAGAAAGCCACGGCUAACUACGUG
rnacentral:rRNA from 1 species